rnacentral:ribozyme from 1 species
CCAAUGGAAAAGAAGCAACAACAACAAAGAGGCAAUAGAUAUGCAGUGUAGAAUCUAGUAGUUGUAGUAGCACAAUAUAUAUAAGGACUUAGAUCUAUAGUCGUAAACCAGUUUUUUUUUUUUUUUUUUUUUUUUUU